AACGAACGCUGGCGGCAUGCCUAACACAUGCAAGUCGAACGAGACCUUCGGGUCUAGUGGCGCACGGGUGCGUAACGCGUGGGAACCUGCCUUUAGGUUCGGAAUAACUCAGAGAAAUUUGAGCUAAUACCGGAUAAUGUCUUCGGACCAAAGAUUUAUCGCCUUUAGAUGGGCCCGCGUUGGAUUAGCUAGUUGGUGGGGUAAAGGCCUACCAAGGCGACGAUCCAUAGCUGGUCUGAGAGGAUGAUCAGCCACACUGGGACUGAGACACGGCCCAGACUCCUACGGAGGCAGCAGUGGGGAAUAUUGGACAAAUGGGCGAAAGCCUAAUCCAGCAAUGCCGCGUGAGUGAUGAAGCCUUAGGGUUGUAAAGCUCUUUUACCCGAGAUGAUAAUGAC
rnacentral:rRNA from 1 species